rnacentral:lncRNA from 1 species
UGGAAGCAAAGGAUCACCAACAAGACAUGGGAGAUGGUAUGCAAUGCGUAAACCACCCCUUCACGAAGAACCCAGGUGGGAUCUGUGCUUUCUGUCUCCAAGAAAAGCUCGGAAAGCUCGUCACUUCCUCUUUCUCUCUCCCCAAACACCUCUCCUCCUCCUCCACCUCUUCCUCAUCCCCUAUUCCCUCUCCCUAAACACCUCUCCUCCUCCUCCACCUCUUCCUCCUCCCCUUCCUUCAGAUCUGACUCUGUCGGCUCCACCACCACCGCCACCACCGUCUCCGCCUCUCUCUCCCUCUCCGCCUCCGGAGCUAGAAACGUAGCACCCAACAACAGCAGCACCAAGCUUCCGUUUUUACUUGCCA